rnacentral:pre_miRNA from 1 species
UCUUCAUUUCGCAUACUCUCUUACCACUCUUCCGGCCGAGAGAGUGUGCGAAAUGAAGAGA